UACGUAGGGGGCAAGCGUUGUCCGGAAUCAUUGGGCGUAAAGAGCGUGUAGGCGGCCUGGUAAGUCCGCUGUGAAAGUCCAGGGCUCAACCCUGGAAUGCCGGUGGAAACUGUCAGGCUCGAGUCCGGAAGAGGCGAGUGGAGUUCCUGGUGUAGCGGUGAAAUGCGCAGAUAUCAGGAGGAACACCAAUGGCGAAGGCAGCUCGCUGGGACGGUACUGACGCUGAGACGCGAAAGCGUGGGGAGCAAACAGG
rnacentral:rRNA from 1 species